GUGAGCAUGCCUGGACAGCAUGUGGGAUGGGGUGUGAGUGCUCAGGGUCAGCCCCGCAGAGCCCCGAACGAAUAGCCCGAUCUUUCUGGAGCGUUUCCUGAUGGGGUUUGCGAGGAACGUCUGCUGGGAGGUUAUUCUGAGAGCUGAUUGACAUAUGCAUGGGCAGAUGUUUUAUAAACUGCAUUCUCUACAAACUGAAGGGGCAAAUGUGAUGGAUUCCAAGGCUCCACAAGACAUUAUCAUGGUCAAUGUCCAGCAGACCAGAUAUGGGGUGAUCAAUUGUUUGAAGGUAAAAGUUGUCAAGAAUAACUUUAGACUUUGCUGGGAAUGCAAUAUCUUCUGACAAGGAGGAGUUGGCUGGAACAGCCUGGGCUCUGUACCUGUCCCUCAGAUGUCCUUUGGUGCUUUAGCCCAGUGACUCAUCGAUCUCCCAGGUAUAAAACCCAGGGUGGGCUUCUUUCUGGGGUCCUUCGGCUGCAGUACAAGUGGGGCAUGCACAGAUGAGACUCCAUCUACCCUGGGAAGCUCUCCUGAGCCUUGGGGGACUGGCUUGUCAUGAAUCCUUGGCUUUAGUUGUCCCUUGUUGUGUAUUUCUAAUGAAUAAACCUGUUGCAUAUAACUUGUGUGUAUGAGUGUUCUGUCUCAUCUGACUCAGGACAGUAGUAAAAAUGCAAUGUAAGAUGCAGUGAGCUCAAGUGGUACCAGUGUACUGUGAAUGCACUUUGUGCUGCCAUGCUGGGGUUCAGAGCAGGCAUCCAUGUCUAGAGCUACAUAUGGAGACCAAACAGAAAAUAGAGGUAAAAGCCCUGUUGUAGGGACAGGGCCAACAUGGCGGGAAUUAGUGAAGUAGGAUUUGGUGAACAUAGGAGAGUAAUGAAAUCCCUGGAACAGAAAAAAUCUAAAGUCCACAGAAGAAAUCCCAUUGAAUUCCCUAAAGAAACCUGACAUGUUAUGUUUUGACCCAGCCAGUCUCAUUUGUUUCAUGCAAUUAUCACCAGAUUGAAGUUUGCUGGGAGAUUCCAACUGACCUGGAAGUUGCUGGAUUGAUGGGAAGAGAUCCUUCUAAUCUUAGAAGAAUUCUUGGAAUGGCUCAGAAAUAGAAACUCAAGAAGCAGAGGGAUUUAAUUACACAGGAGCUGGGACUUCUAGAUUAUGACAUUUAUAUGGUUUGGGUCUGUGUCCCCACCCAAAUCACAUGUCAAAUUAUA
rnacentral:lncRNA from 1 species